GUUAUAUGGUCAAGUGAAGAAGCGCAUACGGUGGAUGCCUUGGCAGUCAGAGGCGAUGAAAGACGUGGUAGCCUGCGAUAAGCUUCGGGGAGUCGGCAAACAGACUUUGAUCCGGAGAUCUCUGAAUGGGGGAACCCAGCCAUCAUAAGAUGGUUAUCUUGUACUGAAUACAUAGGUGCAAGAGGCGAACCAGGGGAACUGAAACAUCUAAGUACCCUGAGGAAAAGAAGUCAACCGAGAUUCCCUUAGUAGUGGCGAGCGAACGGGGACUAGCCCUUAAGUGGCUUUGAGAUUAGCGGAACGCUCUGGAAAGUGCGGCCAUAGUGGGUGAUAGCCCUGUACGCGAAAAUCUCUUAGUCAUGAAAUCGAGUAGGACGGGGCACGAGAAACCUUGUCUGAAUAUGGGGGGACCAUCCUCCAAGGCUAAAUACUACUGACUGACCGAUAGUGAACUAGUACCGUGAGGGAAAGGCGAAAAGAACCCCGGAGAGGGGAGUGAAAUAGAUCCUGAAACCGUAUGCGUACAAGCAGUGGGAGCAGACUUUGUUCUGUGACUGCGUACCUUUUGUAUAAUGGGUCAGCGACUUAUUUUCAGUGGCAAGCUUAACCGAAUAGGGGAGGCGUAGCGAAAGCGAGUCUUAAUAGGGCGUCUAGUCGCUGGGAAUAGACCCGAAACCGGGCGAUCUAUCCAUGGGCAGGUUGAAGGUUAGGUAACACUGACUGGAGGACCGAACCGACUACCGUUGAAAAGUUAGCGGAUGACCUGUGGAUCGGAGUGAAAGGCUAAUCAAGCUCGGAGAUAGCUGGUUCUCCUCGAAAGCUAUUUAGGUAGCGCCUCAUGUAUCACUGUAGGGGGUAGAGCACUGUUUCGGCUAGGGGGUCAUCCCGACUUACCAAACCGAUGCAAACUCCGAAUACCUACAAGUGCCGAGCAUGGGAGACACACGGCGGGUGCUAACGUCCGUCGUGAAAAGGGAAACAACCCAGACCGUCAGCUAAGGUCCCAAAGUUAUGGUUAAGUGGGAAACGAUGUGGG
rnacentral:rRNA from 1 species